rnacentral:rRNA from 1 species
AUAAUGGGUCAGCGACUUAUAUUCUGUAGCAAGGUUAACCGAAUAGGGGAGCCGAAGGGAAACCGAGUCUUAACUGGGCGUUAAGUUGCAGGGUAUAGACCCGAAACCCGGUGAUCUAGCCAUGGGCAGGUUGAAGGUUGGGUAACACUAACUGGAGGACCGAACCGACUAAUGUUGAAAAAUUAGCGGAUGACUUGUGGCUGGGGGUGAAAGGCCAAUCAAACCGGGAGAUAGCUGGUUCUCCCCGAAAGCUAUUUAGGUAGCGCCUCGUGAAUUCAUCUCCGGGGGUAGAGCACUGUUUCGGCAAGGGGGUCAUCCCGACUUACCAACCCGAUGCAAACUGCGAAUACCGGAGAAUGUUAUCACGGGAGACACACGGCGGGUGCUAACGUCCGUCGUGAAGAGGGAAACAACCCAGACCGCCAGCUAAGGUCCCAAAGUCAUGGUUAAGUGGGAAACGAUGUGGGAAGGCCCAGACAGCCAGGAUGUUGGCUUAGAAGCAGCCAUCAUUUAAAGAAAGCGUAAUAGCUCACUGGUCGAGUCGGCCUGCGCGGAAGAUGUAACGGGGCUAAACCAUGCACCGAAGCUGCGGCAGCGACGCUGAUGCGUUGUUGGGUAGGGGAGCGUUCUGUAAGCCUGCGAAGGUGUGCUGUGAGGCAUGCUGGAGGUAUCAGAAGUGCGAAUGCUGACAUAAGUAACGAUAAAGCGGGUGAAAAGCCCGCUCGCCGGAAGACCAAGGGUUCCUGUCCAACGUUAAUCGGGGCAGGGUGAGUCGACCCCUAAGGCGAGGCCGAAAGGCGUAGUCGAUGGGAAACAGGUUAAUAUUCCUGUACUUGGUGUUACUGCGAAGGGGGGACGGAGAAGGCUAUGUUGGCCGGGCGACGGUUGUCCCGGUUUAAGCGUGUAGGCUGGUUUUCCAGGCAAAUCCGGAAAAUCAAGGCUGAGGCGUGAUGACGAGGCACUACGGUGCUGAAGCAACAAAUGCCCUGCUUCCAGGAAAAGCCUCUAAGCAUCAGGUAACAUCAAAUCGUACCCCAAACCGACACAGGUGGUCAGGUAGAGAAUACCAAGGCGCUUGAGAGAACUCGGGUGAAGGAACUAGGCAAAAUGGUGCCGUAACUUCGGGAGAAGGCACGCUGAUAUGUAGGUGAAGUCCCUCGCGGAUGGAGCUGAAAUCAGUCGAAGAUACCAGCUGGCUGCAACUGUUUAUUAAAAACACAGCACUGUGCAAACACGAAAGUGGACGUAUACGGUGUGACGCCUGCCCGGUGC